CAGCAGCCACGGUAAUACGGAGGACCCAAGCGUUAUCCGGAUUUAUUGGGUUUAAAGGGUGCGUAGGUGGCCUGUUAAGUCAGGGGUGAAAGACGGUAGCUCAACUAUCGCAGUGCCCUUGAUACUGAUGGGCUUGAAUGAACUAGAGGUAGGCGGAAUGUGACAAGUAGCGGUGAAAUGCAUAGAUAUGUCACAGAACACCAAUUGCGAAGGCAGCUUACUAUGGUUUUAUUGACACUGAGGCACGAAAGCGUGGGGAUCAAACAGGAUUAGAUACCCCGGUAGUCCCUGUCUCUUAUAC
rnacentral:rRNA from 1 species